rnacentral:rRNA from 1 species
GUGUCAGCAGCCGCGGUAAUACGUAGGGUGCGAGCGUUGUCCGGAAUUACUGGGCGUAAAGAGUUCGUAGGCGGUUUGUCACGUCGUGUGUGAAAUCCUGCAGCUUAACUGUGGGCGUGCAUGCGAUACGGGCAGACUUGAGUACUACAGGGGAGACUGGAAUUCCUGGUGUAGCGGUGAAAUGCGCAGAUAUCAGGAGGAACACCGGUGGCGAAGGCGGGUCUCUGGGUAGUAACUGACGCUGAGGAACGAAAGCGUGGGGAGCAAACAGGAUUAGAUACCCUGGUAGUCCACGCCGUAAACGGUGGGUACUAGGUGUGGGUCUCAUUUCACGAGAUCUGUGCCGUAGCUAACGCAUUAAGUACCCCGCCUGGGGAGUACGGCCGCAAGGCUAAA